GGGGGGAGCGCGCCGCGCACCCGGAAGCGCCCAGAGCGCCGCGCGCCGCCCGCCCGGAAGCGCUUCCGGGAAUGCUAAUGAAUGAUGGUGGUACGAGCAGUUCAUGAACACAUGGAAGCCGGAGCGAAAAGACUGAAGAAAACUGCAAAGUAGAGGAGAAUCAGGAAUUUAGAUGCUGUGGAUCCUGAACAUGAAGAACCAAAGAAAUAGUGACUCCACAUCCGAGAAGAGUAAAAAUUGAUUUAUGAAGAGGAAGAAUAAUCUUUGUUAUGUUACUUAAAAUCUGGUUACAGUGUUUUUUUACUAAUUGUUAUUUAUCUUCAAUAACAAGUUAUCAUAAUGAAAAUAAAGUUUUUAUGGAGGAUUUAUUAAGAUUGCAUCCUACCUAGGAACUCAUGAGGAUAUCCUUUUUUCUCCCAGUAAUUAUCGAACAAGCUCCCAAGUCAAGAGUUUUAUAUCUUAGACUUUUCAAGGUAGAAUAACAGUCAGUCUUCCAUAUCCAUCCAAAACCUC